GAUGAACGCUGGCGGCGUGCCUAAUACAUGCAAGUCGAGCGAACAGACGAGGAGCUUGCUCCUCUGAUGUUAGCGGCGGACGGGUGAGUAACACGUGGAUAACCUACCUAUAAGACUGGGAUAACUUCGGGAAACCGGGGCUAAUACCGGAUAACAUGUUGAACCGCAUGGUUCAACAGUGAAAGACGGUCUUGCUGUCACUUAUAGAUGGAUCCGCGCCGCAUUAGCUAGUUGGUAAGGUAACGGCUUACCAAGGCAACGAUGCGUAGCCGACCUGAGAGGCGGAUAGGCGACACUGGAGCUGGGACACGGUCCAGACGACUACGGGACGCAGCAGUAGGCAAUCGUCCGCAGUGGGCGAAAGCAUGACGGAGCAGCGGGGCGUGAGUGGAGAAGGUCUUCGGAUCGUAAAACUGUGUUAUUAGGGAAAAACAAAUGUGUAAGUAACUAUGCGCUGCUUGACGGUAACUAAUCAGAAAGCCACGGCUAACUACGUG
rnacentral:rRNA from 1 species